AUCAUGGCUCAGGAUGAACGCUGGCGGCGUGCCUAAUACAUGCAAGUCGAACGCUUCACUUCGGUGAAGAGUGGCGAACGGGUGAGUAAUACAUAAGUAACCUGGCAUCUACAGGGGGAUAACCUGAUGGAAACGGUCAGCUAAGACCGCAUAGGUGUAGAGAUCGCAUGAACUCUAUAUGAAAAGUGCUACGGGACUGGUAGAUGAUGGACUUAUGGCGCAUUAG
rnacentral:rRNA from 1 species